UUGGAAGGAGUGAUAAGGGAGUAGGCAUUUCUUCAAGUACCGAAGUGAAAUAGUAAACAAACAGAAGACAUUAGAGUUGUUUACGUAGUUUAGUUUCCUUACAUCUACAGAGCCUAGCUCAGUGAAAAAUAUUUACUAUCUUCAACAGUUACAACAAGAGAUCCUAUUCGAUUACACACCAGCUAUGAAAAUUUUCUCAUCUUUGUACUUUGAAGAACAAUACUCUUACCAUUACAUUCACCAUUGUGAAUUCAGUAAGUAAAACCACAACACAAAAGGUUUUACUAUCAAUAUACACUCAUAAAAUAAAGUUCCUCACAAGGACAAUUAAGUGCUCAAUCUCAUAAUACAAUAACCUAUAUAAGUCUCUCAAUUAUAUAGAAUGCUUCGAGACUUGCUUACAUAAGAAGAUCUAUAUCAAUCCCUAUAAAACAACCAUAUUAUAAGCUGAGUACAAUAUAAUAAUAAUGAACAAGGUAAACAUGGACUCUUUGCAGCUAAGUAUACAACAUUCCAAUUUAAACUAAUAUCCACGAUCUAAGGGAUUCGAUAGGGGUUGAUCUAACUCAAUCCAAUCUUCCAAAUAUGUUUCCCCAAGUGAUAUAAUCUUUAUUGAUGGACUAGAUACCAUCCACAUAAUCAACACAUUCCAGAAACACCGUUUAAUAAAUUACCAACAUCAUAAAUAUAAAAACUAUCUAACAAACAACUUAAGUGAUCAAGGAAUGGACACUCCUUCAAGCACUCAAUUACCAAUUUCAUAUUUUUCAACAAAUCUAAUAACUAAAAAUAUAAUUAUACUUGUAAAAUUUGGAUUAUAUAUAGAAAUAUGGGUACUACGGUGGGUUGGUACUCAAAUGGGGGUGUUUAUGUGGUGAAGAAUAGAUUUGGUGCAAGGGAAG
rnacentral:lncRNA from 1 species